rnacentral:rRNA from 1 species
CCUACGGGAGGCAGCAGUGGGGAAUAUUGGACAAUGGGCGAAAGCCUGAUCCAGCCAUGCCGCGUGUGUGAAGAAGGCCUUCGGGUUGUAAAGCACUUUCAGUGGGGAAGAAAGCCUUGGGGCUAAUACCCUCGAGGAAGGACAUCACCCACAGAAGAAGCACCGGCUAACUCCGUGUCAGCAGCCGCGGUAAUACGGAGGGUGCGAGCGUUAAUCGGAAUUACUGGGCGUAAAGCGCGCGUAGGCGGUCUGAUAAGCCGGUUGUGAAAGCCCCGGGCUCAACCUGGGAACGGCAUCCGGAACUGUCAGGCUAGAGUGCAGGAGAGGAAGGUAGAAUUCCCGGUGUAGCGGUGAAAUGCGUAGAGAUCGGGAGGAAUACCAGUGGCGAAGGCGGCCUUCUGGACUGACACUGACGCUGAGGUGCGAAAGCGUGGGUAGCAAACAGGAUUAGAUACCCUUGUAGUC